GCUUUAAGAAUUUCAGUUAUG
rnacentral:miRNA from 1 species